ACUCCUACGGGGAGGCAGCAGUGGGGGAAUAUUGCACAAUGGGGGGAAACCCUGAUGCAGCCAUGCCGCGUGUGUGAAGAAGGCCUUCGGGUUGUAAAGCACUUUCAGUAGGGAGGAAGGUAGUGUAGUUAACACCUGCAUUAUUUGUACGUUACCUACAGAAGAAGCACCGGCUAACUCCGUGCCAGCAGCCGCGGUAAUACGGAGGGUGCGAGCGUUAAUCGGAAUUACUGGGCGUAAAGCGCAUGCAGGCGGCCUGUUAAGUCAGAUGUGAAAGCCCGGGGUCUUAACCGUCGGUAAUUGCAUUUGAAACUGGCAGGCUAGAGUCUGUAGAGGGGUUAGAAUUUCGAGGUGUAGCGGUGAAAUGCGUAGAGAUCUGAAGGAAUACCGAGUGGC
rnacentral:rRNA from 1 species